rnacentral:rRNA from 1 species
UACAGAGGUCCCAAGCGUUGUUCGGAUUCAUUGGGCGUAAAGGGUGUGUAGGUGGCGCCGUAAGUCGGGUGUGAAAUCUUGGAGCUUAACUCCGAAACUGCAUUCGAUACUGCCGUGCUUGAGGACUGGAGAGGAGACUGGAAUUUACGGUGUAGCGGUGAAAUGCGUAGAUAUCGUAAGGAAGACCAGUGGCGAAGGCGGGUCUCUGGACAGUUCCUGACGCUGAGGCACGAAGGCCAGGGGAGCAAACGGG